rnacentral:rRNA from 1 species
GACGAACGCUGGCGGCGUGCUUAACACAUGCAAGUCGAACGGAAAGGCCCUGCUUUUGUGGUGUGCUCGAGUGGCGAACGGGUGAGUAACACGUGAGUAACCUGCCCUUGACUUUGGGAUAACUUCAGGAAACUGGGGCUAAUACCGGAUAUGAGCUCCUGCUGCAUGGUGGGGUUUGGAAAGUUUCGGCGUUUGGGGAUGGACUCGCGGCUUAUCAGCUUGUUGGUGGGGUAGUGGCUUACCAAGGCUUUGACGGGUAGCCGGCCUGAGAGGGUGACCGGCCACAUUGGGACUGAGAUACGGCCCAGACUCCUACGGGAGGCAGCAGUGGGGAAUAUUGCACAAUGGGCGGAAGCCUGAUGCAGCAACGCCGCGUGCGGGAUGACGGCCUUCGGGUUGUAAACCGCUUUCGCCUGUGACGAAGCGUGAGUGACGGUAAUGGGUAAAGAAGCACCGGCUAACUACGUG